CCUACGGGAGGCAGCAGUGAGGAAUAUUGGUCAAUGGCCGGAAGGCUGAACCAGCCAUGCCGCGUGAAGGUCAGUGCCCUAUGGGCGUUAAACUUCUUUUGUGCGGGAGCAAUAAUGGUCACGUGUGGCCAGACGAGAGUACCGUACGAAUAAGCAUCGUCUAACUCCGUGCCAGCCGCCGCUGUAAUACGGGGGAUGCAAGCGUUAUCCGGAGUUAUUGGGUGUAAGGGGUGCGUAGGCUGUGAGGUAAGUCAGCGGUGAAAUGCCCCCGCUCACCGGGGUGAAGUGCCAUGGAUACUGCCUGGCUGGAAUGCGGAUGCCGUGGGAGGAAUGUGUGGUGUAGCGGUGAAAUGCAUAGAUAUUACACAGAACACCGAUUGCGAAGGCAUCUCACGAAUCCGCGAUUGACGCUGAUGCACGAAAGCGUGGGUAUCAAACAGGAUUAGAUACCCGUGUAGUC
rnacentral:rRNA from 1 species